GAUGAACGCUGGCGGCGUGCCUAAUACAUGCAAGUCGAGCGGACAGACGCGGAGCUUGCUCCUCUGACGUUAGCGGCGGGCGGGUGAGUAACACGUGGAUAACCUACCUAUAGGACUGGGAUAACUUCGGGAAACAGGAGCUCAUACCGGAUAAUAUAUUGAACCGCAUGGUUCAAUAGUGAAAGACGGUUUUGCUGUCACUUAUAGAUGGAUCCGCGCCGCAUUAGCUAGUUGGUAAGGUAACGGCUUACCAAGGCGACGAUGCGUAGCCGACCUGAGAGGGUGAUCGGCCACACUGGAACUGAGACACGGUCCAGACUCCUACGGGAGGCAGCAGUAGGGAAUCUUCCGCAAUGGGCGAAAGCCUGACGGAGCAACGCCGCGUGAGUGAUGAAGGUCUUCGGAUCGUAAAACUCUGUUAUUAGGGAAGAACAAAUGUGUAAGUAACUAUGCACGUCUUGACGGUACCGAAUCAGAAAGCCACGGCUAACUACGUG
rnacentral:rRNA from 1 species